AGYCGCGGUUAGACCAAGAGAUUAAGUUAUAUUUUAAGGUAAAAAGACAGUUAGGCAUUAAUUAAUCUAGUUUAUUGAACAUCUAUAAAAAGGUAAAAUUUGAAUAUAGAUAGCUAAUUUAAUAAUAACUAAUUUGCUGAAGCUGUGAUAGUCCUGCGGGAAACUGGGAUUAGAUACCCCAUUAUUCUUGACUGUAAAUCUAAUAAAAUUUACCAGAGUACUAUGAAUAUUAUAAAAAUUUAAAACUCAAAGGGCUUGGCGGUGUUUUAGACCUAUCAGGGGAACCUGUCUCAUAAUCGACAAUCCACGUUGAACCUAACCCUAUUUUGUAUCCAGUUUGUAUACCGUCGUCGUCAGGUAACUUUUAAAAAACUAGAAGUUAGCAAUAAAAAUUCUUUGAAUUAAAACGUCAGAUCAAGGUGCAGCUAAUGGCAGGGCGAGGAUGGGUUACAAUUAUUUAACUUAUAAUUACGGAAAACUACAUGAAACAUAGUUUGAAGGAGGACUUGAAAGUAAAAUAAAAUAUAUAAACAAUUUGAAUAUGGCUCUGAAACGUGCACACAUCGCCC
rnacentral:rRNA from 1 species